AUCGUGGUGCAAUGUUGACGUGUUGAAAAAUGGAUAAAGUAAUAGUAUUACUUUUGGUUCUGAUUAACUCCAAUUCUACAGAGAGCAGAAAUCUCUUAAGCAGGCGAAAUGCAGAUCCCGCAAAACAGAUAAAUUCAGAAGAAAACGACCCGAUGUUGACUGGUACGGGUACAGAAUCAAUGAAAUCGAGUACGGACUCACUGCACGAGAUACAUACAAGUAUACCAAGUAAUAGUAACACGGAGAAACAAGCAUUGAGACAAAAUGAUGAAAAUUAUGAA